CACAUGUUUUCAAGUUUAAAUGAACACAAUCCUGGCUCACCACUUCAAUCAUUUUAAUAAAUGUGUGUGUAGCAAUUAUAUAUGUACAUAUAUGUGUAUAUCAUUGUAGAUUAUAUGACUGUAUAAUACUAUAACUUAUUAUACUAGAUCAUUAUUUAUUCUUUCUCUUCUUGACAAACAUGUAAGUUGUUUACAGUUUUUACUAUUAGAAGGAGUGCUGAAAUGAACAGUAUUGUAUCCUAUUUUGUGCACGUAUGCAAGGGUUUCUCUGCUGGAAUAAACUCUUUAGGUAUACUUAUCUUUGGCUUUACAGAUAUUGCCAAAUUGCUCUCCAGCAGGGUAAUGGAGUUGCACUUCAUCCUUGAUGUUACUUGGUACUGUCAAAUCUAAAAUUUGUGCUAAAUCUGAUGAAUGUGAAAUGGUAUCUUACUGUGGUUUAAACUUGCAUGUCUUGUUUACUGAUGGGGUUCAUCAUCUUUUUUGUGUGUUGAUUCUACUUUUUUCCCCUUUUGUUAUUUCUUCAAAUUCUCUUCUUGGUUUUCUUCAUAUCUUUCUUAUUCACCAGAACCGCCAAAUGUGCUCCAGCUGACAGCAUAGUUCCUCACACAUGCAUUCCAGGCCAUUUUCCCAUUCUGCCCUAGGCAAUGGCUGAGAGCCUUCCAUGUUAUACAGACAGAGCAACUGCACCACUUAUUAACUCCUCCCCAGGGAUGGAACUUCUGUUCAUGUAAUGGCCAGGAAUAACAUUUUUUAUCAUUCUUUGUGUACCUUUAAGCCCUAAUAAUAAACAUUAUAGAUAUUCACCCACCCAAUAGUAAUUGAUUAUUGCUAUAUACAAGUUAUAUCAUUAACCUACUGGAACACAAAAAUGAGAAGCACAUAGUCCCUGCCCUUAACACAUUUACAUGGAAAUGACAUCAAUGACAAAUGUAGUUCAUAUUUUUAUUAAGGAGUAAUUUCCUGAUUAUCAGUAAGAGUAUUUAGUGUUUAUAUAGUAUUUAGUAUUUAUUUAUAAUACCUAAAUAAUUAAGACAAUCUUUGUGUUGCUCAGGAAGCAAAUGGUUAACUUAGUUAUGUUAAGCUAUAAUUUUGAAUUUAUAUACUGACAUGGAAGGAUACUAUAUGAGUGGAAAAAGCAAAUUUCAGAACAGGCUAAGCUUACUUUUACAAAAAACAAAGGAAUAUGUUACAUAUCAUUUCUCUUUCUUGUUUCUUUUUCUGAUACUGGGGAUUCAACCCACUUACCACUUAACUACAUCCCCAGUCCUUUUUAUUUUUUAUUCUGAGACAGAGUCUCACUUAAGUUACCCAUGCUGGUUUCAAACUUUCUAUCCUCCCACCUCAGCCUCCCAAGUAUCUGGGAUUAUAGGUGUGUGCCUGGCUUCAAAUAAUCCUUUUUUCAUUUAACAAGCAACCCCCUACUUGGUUGCCAGCUAUGGGAGCAGCACUGUCUUUGCCCCUCCUUACCUUCCUGAGAGUGUGGCAUGGUGGAAUGCUCAAUUCAGAAUUCACUGUUUUCAUCAUGCUUUUUUUUUAACCCCUAAAAGUAAAAUUUUAAUUCUUUAUUGUUCUGCACAGCUGUCCUUUAACUCUGUUGGUGUCAUAUGAAUAUGCCUUUGUAGUAACAAGCUUUUGCUUUUGUAAAUUAGUUGGUUCCAGCUCUACAAGUUCUAGUGGACUGACUGGAAAUUAUAUCCCUUCCUUCCUGAAAAAAGAAAUCGGUUCUGCUAUGCAGAGGGUACACCUAGCAUCUAUUCCAGAUCCUUCCCCAGGUAGGUUCUACCUCGAAUUAUUCAUAAAUUGAUUCAAUAAUUAACUGAACAAUUGCUUUGUGCUAGUCCUGUUGUAACCCUGAAAUGAGCUAGAAUGUGCUAGAACUCCUGGCCCUGGGAGAACUUGCAGACAAUGAGUGAGUUGAAUAAGUACAACAUGUAGUAAGUCAGAUUCUCAUAAGUACUCAGGAAAAAAUAAAACAGGCAGGAAGUGUAGGGAUGGUGGAGGUGGGAGUGUGGGGUGCAGAUUGCAGUUUUAGGCAAAGGAGCCAAAGAAGAUCUUGCUGCAAAGGAGUUAUUGAGUAAAGAUCUGAAGGAAGCAUGAACAAGCAUGCAAAAUGGGUAAGACUGUUGCAGACAUGGAAUUCUUGAGUGCACAGGCUUUGAAGCAGAACGUGCCUGGCAAACUCAAGGACUAGCAAGGAGGUCAGAGUGCAAGAGGAGCAUGAGUGAAAAAGUAUCAAGAGGAGGACAAGGGUGACUGAGAGGCCCAAGGGUAUGAGGCCCUGGGGCAAGCUACUCCCUCUCUGUAAGCAUGUUUUCACUGACUGAAGGACAAGGGAGCCACCUGAGGCUUUUGAGCAGAGUAACAUUAUCUGACCACCAUCUUCACAGUCUUGCUCAGGCUUCUGGUUGUCAUUUGAAUAAGUAAGAAGAGGGUUGGGAACAGGAGUCUUUUCUAGUUAUCCAGGCAGGAAAUGAUGCUAGUUUAGGCCAUUGUAUCAAUAGUUGAUUUGGUAAAAGUGGUAAGUGGGAUCUGAGAAAAAGAAAGGAGUCAAGAUUGACAUCUGUACUUUUGGCUUGACAACUCUACUUAACUGAGAAAGGGAAGACUAGAGAAAAAGACAAAUGCUCUUUUUGAAUUUCUCAUUUUCUGACAUUUUUGUUACCCUGAGACAUUUAUCUGUGCUUUGAUUGUUUGUGUCUUUUAUCAUCAGACCAGCCUUUCUCUUCCAUUGCAGGUUAUUCUUCCCUGAAGGCUAUGAGACCUCAUCCUGGGCGACCUUUUUUCCACACCCAGCCUAGAAGCAAUCCGGGGUUGAUCCCACGGCCUCCAGCCGCCCAACCAGUGCAUGGCCGGACAGACUGGGCUUCCAAGUACCCAUCUCGGCGAUGACUGUCUCAGCAACCAGGCCCUUGGUCAGGGAGAGCAGGACACUUUCCCUAGACUGACUGUGUUCCACCCACAAGAGACAUGUUGAUGAUACAAAGGCAAACCAACACUUUAUUCUUCUGAACUAAGACAUUUCAAUAUUCUUUUUUAAAGUUUUUUUUAACAUUGAUUUGAAUGCAGUACCUUUUUUGUAUAAAAUUAUUUUAUUCUAAAACUGGGUCCCAUUAUUUUCUUAAACAACAGCAUUUUGUACAUAUGGGUUAUGUUUUAGCAUUUUAUACAGUUCAACUUUGUAAUGACCUUUUUAAAGAUUAAGUGUUUUUCCUUUGGGGUUCCAGGUAAUAUUUUAUACAGAUUUUGAAAAAUGUAAUACUAUUGAUGCAGUAUUGCAAUAGGGGUGCAAUUUUAAGGCUAUGACUUAAGGGUUAUCUACUCCAUACGUGCGAGUAUUGUGAAAUGAUUACAUUUAAAUAUGGCUUGUUAGGUGCUUCAGGCUUUCUUGGACUGACCUUAGGAAAGUGAUCCUUUGCUUUUCUUAAUAUCCUGUCAUCGGUUUGAUUUUUUUUCAUACCACGGUUAUAAUUCAUUUUGUUUUAUUUUUGUUCCCCAGAACAAAGAACCCUACAUAAAAUUUUUUUGGAAAUUUCUACAACACCCUUUAAUGUGAUUGCAGAUAUCCAAAUGAAUCAUACUAAGCCAUCACAUUCUAUUUUCUUCCAUUUUUGAAAUCAAAUUGUAUAUAUGUAUACACACAUACACAAAUUGUAGAUAUAUAAAAGGGCAGCUUUGGGGGUCAAAUGGUUUUCAACAUAAAGGGAUUCACACAGCACAGUCAAUUAAACUUAUAUGCCCUUGCCAAGAUGCAUGAUCAAAAAUACCAAGUUUCAAAGCAACAGAAAAAUUUUUAUUGUAAUAACUGAGAUGGAAUCUUGCAUUCAGCUCAGUUCUCUAGACAUGGUUAGGAGCAGCUCAUAAAUAAUCUAUCCUAGCCAAAUUCUCAGGACAAUUUGGGGAAGAGAAAAGAUUUAGAGCAGGGGUCCCACUGACCUAGGAAACCACGGUUAUCUUAAUGUUAGUGUCCAUAGUGUGCCACAUUUGAACUCCUAACCUGCAUAGUUUCUUUCAAGAGUGAGAACUCUAUUUGUUGGACAGAGGCUAUUCCAUUGAGAGGAAUGUUUACAGCAGUUUUGCAAAUGACAAAGCUAGUUUGGAGACAGAAAAAGACAGAAGAUCCACUCCCAUCCAUCUCUGUAUAGUGUAAGCACUUCUGCCUCCCCUCACAGUUACCUCAGAGGCAAGAGGGACAGUCAUCACCAGUGAAUUCGAUAGUGACCUCAACAGCAUUAUCGUUUCACAUUCUCCCAGGGCUCAAAGUACUCUUUUGGUUCCAGGUUCUAGGAUACAGCAAGCUGAACCAUAUGAAGUGAUCUAAUUGGUAGGUUAAAAUGAUUGGUAGGUUAAGUGAAUGUAGAUACUUUCAUAUGGUUCAAACUAGUAAGUUGGCAAAUGAUUGCUUGGUGUAUUAGUGAUAUGUGGCAGCCUGAACACAUUAUCAUGACUUCCAAAGGGCUCUAACCUAAAAUCAGGGAGUAAUUUAUGCUUUGGAGAAUCUGACUCAGAAAUGUACUUGACCAAGCACUAUGAUGGUGAAGGCCAUGAGAGAAGGACAUAAUGGAUGUGAAUUUGACAGAUAAUAUUUUCCUGUUAACAAGCUGGCGGCAAAGCUUCAGAAAAUGUAAAUGCAAGCACAACUUGAAGCUGAAUUAAUUUCUGUAUUAUAUUCUUAACUUGUUAUCUAAAGCAACAGAAAAUGUGUUUUCAGAGAUGAGUCCUUUACUGUGAGGUUAAUAUUUAUUUUUCUCUUUGUAUUAUAUAUAAAAGGUAAAUUAAUCUGAAACCUUACCCAGCUUGCUGGAAAGCUGGUUUUAAAUUGUAAAUACCUACCCCUUAGAAAAACUAAUGGAUUGUCAAUGCCAUAUUCUCUGUAUUCUAGCUUGUGUUAAGGUCAGUACUUUAUUUUAAAUUGAAAAACCUAGUUACCUGGUUAUUACACAUUGUAAAAUUGUUUUCCUAAUACUUUUAUAAGGUUCACCUUCAGAGAAUACUUCAUUUUCUUCCUUUUAUCUUUUCCUUAGUUUGCCAGCAAACACCUUCCCCUGGGAAGCUAAACAUGUUUAGCAAGUCAAAAACCUGAUGUGCAGUUGAGAAAACUAGAUUACUGAAAAAUAAACUUUAAAGAGCUAGCAAAAUCCCAUAUAGUAUUCUUUGCUAUCCCCCAAAUAGGUAAGGGACAAAUUGUAUAUACAAGCUAUAUAGUAUAAAAGGAAAUAGGGACCAUUUUUUGUUAAGUGAAAAUAAAAUGUUACCUGUUGCAUAUAUUUUUAUUUGCUAUAGAAUUAUAAAAUGAAAGCAAGACAUCAACAGGAGUGAUGAGUUCUUAUGUACCUAUCCAAUGACUAUACCUCAUUUACAGUCAGAAAGCUUUCGGGAUGUCAGAUAUGGUACAGGGUGGCUCUUGUUCCACGUCCAAAGGUUUGGUGACAGUGGUGUGCUGAGGGGCACAGCAAGCACAACAGGGAAACUGCAUUUCCAUAAAAGCUAUUCUACUCUUGGCAUGAUUAUUCAUUUUAUAUUAAAAUUCCUUUCAUUACCAAGUCCUCACCCAGCUCAAGUAUGGUAGGAUUUACAUAGGCAGAAAAUUGAGCUUGAAACAAUUUUUUGGACACAUUGCUUGCCUAAAGGACCACAUAGAUCUAAAAAAGUGACACUGUGUCAUCUUCUGAAAUUAUAUGAAAUUGAAUACAAUCAAGGCAACGUGAGUCAAACAAAAUCAUUGUUUCAUUUUUAAGUGCAAAAACAGGUACUGUUGAAAUUAAUGUGCACCUGGUUUUCAUAUGAAGUAGCACUUCUUUCAUCAUCAAGCCAUUCAAUUGUGCCAUGUAGAAGAGGGAGAGGAAAGAAAGGCAGACUGUGUGCUUCAGCUCGGUGUAUGGCCAAAAGCAAUAUGUUUAUAAUAAAAUGUUUGACAUACUAAUUGUUUUAUAUCAUUUUAAGCAUACUGUAGCAACUUGUUUGUUUACUAUAUGUGCUUAGUUUUUAGAAUUAUUUUUACAAUUUCCAACCAAAUGUACUGUACAUUUAUAUAAUUUAUUGUGAGGACCUUCUCAUGGAAACCAUCAAGGAGACAAACUGGGGGCAAAUAUCACAUUAAUCUGUAUUAUCGAUUUCUUAAAGACACUGUGCUAAUGUGAAUUUAAAAUGACCUGAAUAAAUAUAUCUGUUAUCUCAAUACAGAUAGCAGUUUGGUCACCUGAGUUGAUUACAAUGGAGUAACUGAGAAUAUAUUUAUUUAUAAAGCAAACAUUCAUAAUAAUGAGAAGAUUGGAGGGCAGAAACCACUGAAGCAAGAUCAUUCUGAAAUAAAAUGUCAUGUUUUGAAUAGUUUGUCCUAAGGUGUUUAAUAAUGUUAACUUUAUGUAAGGAAAAUUCUCCUGCUCCAAAUAAAGUUACAGUUUAACAAAAAACUGAUUUGAGUAUUUUGUUCCUGUUCUUAUA
rnacentral:lncRNA from 1 species